AGUUCGAUCAUGGCUCAGAUUGAACGCUGGCGGGAUGCUUUACACAUGCAAGUCGAACGGGCAGUAUCGACUUCGGUCUGGUGGCGAGUGGCGAAACGGUGAGUAAUGUAUCGGAACGUGCCUAGUAGCGGGGGAUAACUACGCGAGCUUUGAAGCAUACCGCAUGCCAUUCGGGGAAAGCGGGGACCUUCGCCUCGCACUAUUAGAGCGGCCGAUAUCGGAUUAGCUAGUUGGUGGGGUAACGGCUCACCAAGGCGACGAUCCGUAGCUGGUUUGAGAGGACGACCACACACUGGGACGAGACGGCCCAGACUCCUAUGGGCAGCAGUGUAAAUUUUGGGACAAUGGGGAAACUCCCUGAUCCAGCCAAUCCCGCGUGCGAUGAAGGCCUUCGGGUUGUGCAAGCACUUCGGAAAGAAACGGCGACGUGGGAUAAUACCCUUGUGCAACUGACGGUACCUGCAGAAUAAGCACCGGCUAACUACGUGCCAGCAGCUGCGGUAAUACGUAGGGUAAGCGUUAAUUGAAUUACUGGCGUAAGCGUGCGCAGGCGGUUCGGAAAGAAAGAUGUGAAAUCCCAGAGCUUAACUUUGGAACUGCAUUUUUAACUACCGAGCUUAGAGUGUGUCAGAGGGAGGAAUUCGCGUGCAGGAAUGCGGUAGAUAUGCGGAGAAUACCCGAUGGCGAAGGCGUACCUGGGAUAACACUGACGCUCAUGCAACGGCUGCGGGGAGCAAACAGAUUAGAUGCUCCUGGUAGUCCACGCCCUAAACGAUGUCAACUAGCCGCUGGGGCCUUCGCCUUCGGUAGCGCAGCUAACGGUGCGAAGUUGGACCGGGGAGCAUGGUCGCAAGAUUAAAACUCGUGCUGAAUUGACGGGGACCGCACAAGCGGUGGAUGAUGUGGAUUAAUUCGAUGCAACGCGAAAAACCUUACCUACUCCUGAUAUGUCUGAAUCCCGAAGAGAUUUGGGAGGCUCGCAAGAGAACCGGAACACAGGUGCUGCAUGCCAGUCGUCAGCUCGUGUCGAGAUGUUGCCAAGUCCCGCAACGAGCGCAACCCUUGUCAUUAGUUGUCAGAAAGGGCACUCUAAUGAGACUGCCGGUGACAAACCGAGGAAGGUGGGGAUGACGUCAUCCCUUAUGGCUCCUUAUGGGUAGGGCUUCACACGUCAUACAAUGGUCGGGACAGAGGGUCGCCAACCCGCGAGGGGAGCCAAUCCCAGAAACCCGAUCGCGGUCCGGAUCGCAGUCUGCAACUCGACUGCGUGAAGUCGGAAUCGCUAGUAAUCGCGGAUCAGCAUGUCGCGGUGAAUACGUUCCCGGGUCUUGUACACACCGCCCGUCACACCAUGUGGGGAGUGGGUUUUACCAGAAGUGCUUAGCCUAACCGUAAGGAGGGUGAUUACCACGGUAGGAUUCAUGAUCAGGUGAAGUCAACAAGGUAG
rnacentral:rRNA from 1 species